ACUGCCCGGAAGGGAUUUUGGAGUCUGCUUUGGAGAUGGGGAUGUCUAAGAAGCGUCUCCUUAGGCCACCUAAAGGGACAGCGUCUCUUUUGAUCUCAGCGCUGAGGCGCGCAGGGCAGAGCAGUUCCGGUGUGUGUCGUGUCACUUGUCUCUUGUGCAUUCUGUGUUGUUUGGGUCUGUCACGUCACUUGUCUUUUUUUUACCUUAGCUGUCUGAGGGUCAUCUUGGCAUCUGUGAUCUUUGCGUUCCUCGGCCCGGCACCAACGCCGCAGGCCUUUUGACUCGGGAGUCCGGACAGGCAUCGCAGUCGUAUCUGUCUUUAGAAGCAUCCGGUCGGAUGUCUUUUAAGGUGUCGUUCCGAGCGGUAGCGACAGCCGCGCACCCCAACGAUCCAUUAUAGCGGCUUAGGACUCGUGAGAACGCCAAGCUAGGUAGCUCAUUCUUACCGUAGGCUUUUCAGGCAUCCCCUUGUGCGGUUCUCAGAAGACAUAGUUUUCUUAGCAUCUUCUUCCUGCAGGGUUCUUUGAGCCUCAUCGGCUCCGGGCCGGCCGUCUCGCCUAGGUCAUCUCGUUCCGCAAUCUCUCUGUCCUCGCGGGCAUUUUUCUCGCCAAGAGAUUUUUCUCCUCGUGGCGUCCCCUCGUUUGUCGUGUCCUGUCCUGUGUCACGGGUGUCUGCACGUAUUUGUCCCGGAGCUGCUCUGUCCUGCUGCAUAGCCAGGCGUAAUUGCACAAGUCCUGGAGACCUGCAAUUUGGAAUGGGGGAUGUAGUUGUAUUCUAGAUGGUAUUCCUAGAUUCAUACAGGAUGCUUGGACCUGUUAAGUUAUCCUACAGUUGUUUGAAUUUUCUCCUAACUUUCUUUCAGAUGCAGACAUUUAAGAUCUGUGGCAGAGCGCCCCUCCCGGGUCAGGGGGUUUUCCCCGAGAAGGAAGUCCAGGCAGAUAGCUGCAGUCAAGGCCAAGUGUGCAAGGCGGUCCUCUUGCGAGAUGUCUCUGACCCCAGAUGUCUGAGGCCAGGUGUCAUUGCUGCCCUCGGCGUGUGAAGGAACAGAGUCAAGCGGGUAUCCUCCUGGCAGCCUGUUGAGUCGCAUCAAGAUUUCAGGUACCGUGAGGAGGCGCAUAGGUGAAAUUUGGAAACGGCAGCACCGAAGCGGAUGUAGAGACCGUGUCGCCGUCCACGUCCGGCUGAUGAUGGAUUUUGUCUGGUUGUCUUGCAAAAGCUAAGUGUUGGGGCCCGUAGGUGGGAGAAGGGGAAAAACCUUUACUAUCACAGGAGACAAUUAGAUGUUAGCUUAGAGGAGAGGCCCAUAGUGGGACGGGCCUCUAGGAAGCAGAGGGAGAGGGUUUCUACUCAGCCUCACCAGAGUCUUCGCCGGGCAGGGCAGUUCCGAUCCGUCUUUGCGUCCUCGCGAGGUUUGCGUCGGCGGCCUUCUUCGACUCUCGACGUCGUCGUGGAUCUUUUCACCCGAGGAGCCCGCCUUCACGUCCGGAGCUCUAGCCACGGUCACGCCGUAGUCAUCGCUUUCUUGUCUAGGCCUACUGAGCUUCUUAGGCUUCCUCUUAAGUCCUUUGGCACUAACAUCUUGAAAGGAGUUAAAUUUCAUCAUCAUAUGCUAUUGCCCUAGGGCUUUCUUUCCUUUGGUAUCAUCGGCCUAUGAGUCAUCUUGGACUAGCAAUCUUGGGUCCAUAAGGUGGAACUGCCAGGCAGUUUCCACUCGUGUCUGUGUUAUGUUGUCCGUGUCUGUGUUAUGUUGUCUGUGUGUGUGUUACGUUGUCCGUGUCUGUGUUAUGUCGUCCGUGUCCAUUGAUUUGUGCAUCAUAGGCCUUUGUUACAUCUUGAGGCUUUCUCUGCAUUGUUCUCUGCCGUAUCGGCCAUAUUUUACUCGUGUACCUUCCUGGAUAUCGCUUAUUCCAGCAUCGUUACAUUGUUACUUUUUGAGACGGGAAGAAGUACAGGAGACGUUCUCAUCCAUCUUCCUUCUCACCUUUGGUAGCGCCUUCUCUUCCCGUGCCAUUCUCUCGGACUUCUAGAGGGAGCAUAUUAGACCGUCGUCACCUGACCGCAGUAGUUCCGUAGCUUGCGCCUUCUCAAAGGGUAUAGGGCUCAACAAUUCAUCUUCCGGAGAGUUACGUCAAGUCCUCACUUAUAUUGUAUCUAUGUUGGCUUAUAUUGUACGUGCUUAGGUUGUACCUUCCUAUGUUGGCUUAUACUGUAUGUGCUUAUAUUGUAUGUACUUAUGUCGUAUGUACCUAUGUCGGUUUAUAUUGUAUGUACUUAUACUGUAUGUACCUACGUUGGCUUAUAUUGUGCAUAUAUUGUAUGUACCUACCUUGGCUUAUGUUGUACACGCCUCUGUCGUGCCACUUACGAUCGGAGCUGCCCUGCCCAGGCGCGUAGUCACGGUUAGGUAGAGCAGUUAUAAAACUUUACAGUUCAUCUGUCUUCUAUGGGGGUUUUGGGUACAAAAUUUAUGGACCCGGAGCGGGAAUAGCUCCUUGCUGUCAGAUAGUCACUCGUUGACCGCCUCCCGUCGCCUCUGUCGUCUCGCAGGUCCCCGGGUCUCUACAAGUUAUCCCGGAAUCUACCGCCGGACAUCGAAGAGCCGCGGUCAGAAGACGCGUCGAAGCGUCAACGUAGCAUUUCAAGUAAGGGUCGCGGUCAGCGUGUAAGCGGAAGAGCGCGUGAGAGAGCGUGAUUGUCCGUGUCUGUCUGUGAGAGCUUGUGUCUGCAGGUGUGAGUGUGUGUCGACCGCUUCUAACCUUGUGCGUAUGGCCUUUGCCUUUCAGGUUUUUCAGCUCAUUUUUAAAUUUAGAAUAAAAAAUCCCCAGCCGGGGGGUUUUUUUUUUUUCCCCCCGGCUGGGUUUUUUUUUUCCUCGGUCCCGGCCGGUCCGCGAGGCGACGUUCAUCGCCAAAGUUCGGAGGCGGACCGUCCCGGGACCGGGGUUUUCGUCAGGCAGGAGAAUUUUUUCGGACGCUCCCGGGAACCACGUUCCCGAGGAGCGUCGUGCAUGCGUGUCGAUGGCCGGGGGUCAGAGGAGCGGUUGAGACGAGAGCGAGGGUGGGUUUGUGCGUGAGCUGAAGGAGGGCUCUGUGUGUGUGUGUUUGUGUGUGUGUGUUGACCGGUUCUAACCUUGUGCGUAUGGCCUUUGCCUUUCAGGUUUUUCAGCUCAUUUUUACAUUUAGAAUAAAAAAUCCCCAGCCGGGGGGUUUUUUUUUUUUCCCCCCGGCUGGGUUUUUUUUUCCUCGGUCCCGGCCGGUCCGCGAGGCGACGUUCAUCGCCAAAGUUCGGAGGCGGACCGUCCCGGGACCGGGGUUUUCGUCAGGCAGGCGGAUUUUUUCGGAGGCUCCCGGGAACCACGUUCCCGAGGAGCGUCGUGCAUGCGUGUCGAUGGCCGGGGGUUAGAGGAGCGGUUGAGACGAGAGCGAGGGUGGGUUUGUGCGUGAGCUGAAGGAGGGCUCUGUGUGUGUGUGUUUGUGUGUGUGUGUUGACCGGUUCUAACCUUGUGCGUAUGGCCUUUGCCUUUCAGGUUUUUCAGCUCAUUUUUACAUUUAGAAUAAAAAAUCCCCAGCCGGGGGGUUUUUUUUUUUUCCCCCGGCUGGGUUUUUUUUUCCUCGGUCCCGGCCGGUCCGCGAGGCGACGUUCAUCGCCAAAGUUCGGAGGCGGACCGUCCCGGGACCGGGGUUUUCGUCAGGCAGGCGGAUUUUUUCGGAGGCUCCCGGGAACCACGUUCCCGAGGAGCGUCGUGCAUGCGUGUCGAUGGCCGGGGGUUAGAGGAGCGGUUGAGACGAGAGCGAGGGUGGGUUUGUGCGUGAGCUGAAGGAGGGCUCUGUGUGUGUGUGUUUGUGUGUGUGUGUUGACCGGUUCUAACCUUGUGCGUAUGGCCUUUGCCUUUCAGGUUUUUCAGCUCAUUUUUACAUUUAGAAUAAAAAAUCCCCAGCCGGGGGGUUUUUUUUUUUUUCCCCCCGGCUGGGUUUUUUUUUUCCUCGGUCCCGGCCGGUCCGCGAGGCGACGUUCAUCGCCAAAGUUCGGAGGCGGACCGUCCCGGGACCGGGGUUUUCGUCAGGCAGGAGGAUUUUUUUCAGAGGCUCCCGGGAACCACGUUCCCGAGGAACAACGAUUGCUGGGGCUUAACGGAGCGGUUGAAACGAUAGCGACAGUGAGUUUGUGUGCAAUGUGAAGGAAGCGGUCACGGUGGAUGACUGUUGGUUUCUGUGUGCUAUUUUUGUUUGGUCUUUCCUCUAACAAUCAAUCAAAAUGUAAUGUAAAUAGAAAAAAGGUUAUAUUGUGUUAAUGUCCGUUCGUUGUCUAUUGCCCCGUAUUGUUCCGUGUUUGCAUUUGCUGCUGCAUUUCCACAUACGGUUCUGUAUGUAAGUGGGAUUUCUACCGGUCAGCGUACGGAUUGUAUCUAUGCUCCCAUUGGUAUACAUUGUUUCCAUGUAUUUUGCUGGAGUGUAAAUAAAAAAAAUCAUUCAAUAAAGUUGAA